UGGAUUACUAAAGAAAUCAAAGAGGAGAUUAAAAAAAAUACCUACAGACAAAAGAAAAUGAAAACACGAUGGUCCAAACCCUUGGGAAGCAGUAAAAGCAGUUCUAAGAGGGAAGAUCAUAGCAAUACAGGUUUACCUCAGGAAACAAGAAAAAUCUCUCUCUUGCUUUUUUAGGAUCACACCUGCAGCACAUGGAAGUUCUUGGGCUUAGGGUUGAAUCAGAGCUGCAGCUGCCUGCCUGUGCCACAGCCACAGCAUUGUAGGAUCUGAGCCAUGUCUGCAGAUUAUGCCUCAGCUCAUGACAACACCAGAUCCUUAACCCACUGAGUGAGGCCAGGAGUUAAACCUGUAUCCUCAUGAAUACUGGUCAGGUUUGUUAUUGCUGAACCACAAUGGGAACUGCCAAGGAAAAUCUCAAAUCAACAACUUAACCUUACAACUAAAACAAUUCAAGAAAGAAGAACAAACAAAACUCAAAGUUAGUAGAAGGAAAGAAACCAAAGAUCAGAGCAGAAAUAAAUGAAACAAGAUGAAGAAAAAAUAGAUCAAUGAAACUAAAAUCUGAUUAUUUGAAAAUAUAAAAAAUCUGAUAAACCUUGAGCCAGACUCAUCAGGAAAAUGGGGAGAAGGCUCAAAUCAAUAAUAUUAGAAAUGAAAAAGAAGUUACAGUUGACACCACCAAAACUCAAAAGGAUCAUAAGAGACUAUAUACCAAUAAAAUGGAUAACCUCGAAAAAAUGGUAAAUUCUUAAAAGGGUAAAAUCUGGAGUUCCCGUCGUGGCGCAGUGGUUAACGAAUCCGACUAGGAACCAUGAGGUUGCAGGUUCGGUCCCUGCCCUUGCUCAGUGGGUUAAACGAUCCGGCGUUGCCGUGAGCUGUGGUGUAGGUUGCAGACGAGGCUCGGAUCCCGCGUUGCUGUGGCUCUGGCAUAGGCUGGUGGCUACAGCUCCGAUUCAACCCCUAGCCUAGGAACCUCCAUAUGCUGCGGGAGCGGCCCAAGAAAUAGCAACAACAACAACAACAACAACAAAAAGACAAAAGACCAAAAAAAAAAAAAAGGGGUAAAAUCUCCUGAGACUGAACCAGAAAGAAAUGGAAAAUAUGAAGAGACCAACCACAAGUACUAAAAUUGAAAGUAUGAUUUAAAAAACUCACAGUAGGUAUUCCCAGUGUGUCAAAAUAGGACCAAUGGCAUAUCUGGAGAACUGGGGUGCAGGAUUAAUCCCCAGCCCAGCACAGUGGGUUAAGGAUCUGGCAUUGCUGCAGCUGCAGCUUAGGUUGCAGCUGUGGCUCAGAUCCGACUCCUGGCCCAAGAACUCCAUAGCCAUUGGGGCAGCCAAAAAAGAAAAAAGAAAACAAAAAAAUCCUCUCAACAAACAAAAGUCCAGGACCAGAUGACUUCACAAACAAAUUCUAACAACCAUUUAGAGAAGAGCUAACAUCUGUCUUUCUCAAACUAUUCCAAAAAAUUGCAGAGGAAGGAACCCUCUCAAACUCAUUCUAUGAGGCCACCAUCACCCUGAUACCAAAACUGGACAAAGAGGAAUUCCCAUCGUGGCUCAGCAGAAAUGAAUCUGACUAGGAACCAUGAGGUUGCAGGUUUGAUCCCUUACCUCACUCAGUGGGUUAAGGAUCCGGCGUUGCUGUGAGCUAUGGUGUAGGUUGCAGACGCAGCUCAGAUCUGGCAUUGCUGUGGCUCUGGAGUAGGCUGGUGGCUACAGCUCCAAUUAGACCCCUAGCCUGGUACCCUCCAUAUGCCAUGGAUGUGGCCCUAAAAAGCAAAAAGCAAAAAAAACAAAAAACAAAACAAAACAAAAAAACGACAAAGAUACCACAAAAAAAGGAAAUUACUGGCCAACAUUGCUGAGGAACGUAGAUGCAAAAAUCCUCAACAAAAUAUUAGCAAGCCAAGUCCACAUGCAUUGAAAGGAUCAUACAUAAUGAUCAAGUGGGAUUUAUCCCAGUGAUGCAAGGAUCUAUCUUUCUCUUUCUUUCUUUCUUUCUUUCUUUCUUUCUUGGGGCCACACCCAUGGCAUAUGGAAAUUCCCAGGCUAGGGGUUGAAUUGGAGCUACAGCUGCCAGCCACAGGCACAGCCACAGCAAUGCAGCAUCUGAGCCACAUCUCCGACCUACACCAUAGCUCAGAGUAAUGCUGGAUCCCUGAGCCACUGAGCAAGGCAAGAGAUCAAACCUGCAUCAUCAUGGAUACUAGUUGGAUUUAUUUCUUCUGUGCGACAAUGGGAACUGCUGGAUUUUUCAUUAUUCACAAAUCAAUCAGUAUGAUACACCACAUUACAAAAUUAAAGAAUAAAGCUCAUAUGAUCAUCCCAAUAGGUACAGAAAAAGCUUUUGACAAAAUUCAACCCUCAUUUCUGAUACAAACUUUCCAGGAAGUGGACAUAGAAUGAACCUAACGCCACAUAAUAAAGGCCAUAUAUGACAAACCCACAGCUGACAUCAUUCUCAAAGAUGAAAAGCUAAAGCAUCCUCUCUAAUAUCAGGAACAAGACAAGGAUAUCCACUCUUGCCACUUUUAUUCAACACAACUCUGGAAGUAUUAGCCAUGGUAAUCAAAGAGGAGAAAGAAAUGAAAGGAAUCCAAACUGAAAAGGAAGUUUAACUGUCACUGUUUGCAGAUGACAUGAUACUAUAGAGAAUCCUAAAGAUGCUACCAGAAAACUACUAGAGCUCAUUGAUGAAUUUGGUAAAAUUGCAAAGUACAAGAUUAAUACACAGAAAUCUGUUGCAUUUCUAUACACUAGCAAGAAAAGAUGAGAAAGAAAAAUUAAGGAAACCCAUAUACUGCUGCAUCAGAAAGAAUAAAAUUCUUGGGAAUAAAUUCUGUAAGGAGGCAAAAGACCUGUAACUCUGAAAACUAUGAGACAUUGAUGAAAGAAUCAAAGAUGACACAAACACAUGGAAAUAUACCCCAUAUCCUUGGAUGGGAAGAAUUGAUAUUGUCAAAAUGACUAUACUGCCCAAGGCCUUCUACAGAUUCAGUGCAAUCCCUAUUAAAUUAUUAUAAUUAAAAAUUUUGGCAUUUUUACAGAUCUUGAACAAAAAUAUAAUUUGUAUGGAAACACAAAAGACUCCAAAUAUCCAAAGCAAUCUUGAGAAAGAAAAAUGGAAGAAUCAGGUUCUCUUACUUCAGACUAUACUCUAAAGCUACGGUUAUCAAAACAGUGUGGUAUUGGCACAAACACAGACGCAUAGAUCAAUGGAACAGGAUAGAAAGCCCAGAAAUAAACCCACACACCUAUGAUCAAUUAAAACAUAAACAAAACAAAGUAGGCAAGAAUAUACAAUUGAGAAAAGACAGUCUCUUUAAUAAGCGGUGCUGGGAAAAAUGGACAGCUAUGUGUUAAAGAAUAAAAUUAGAACAUUCUCUAACACCGUACACAAAAUUAAACUCAAAAUGGAUCAAAGACCUAAGUAUAACACUGGGUACUAUAAAACUCUUAGAGGAAAACAUAGACAGAAUACUCUUUGACAUAAAUCACAUCCAUAUGUUUUUGCAUCUGUCUCCUAGAAUAAUGGAAAUAAAAAUUAAUAAAUGGAAUCUAAUUAAGCUUAAAAGCUUUUGCACAGCAAAGGAAAUCAUACACAAAAUGCAAAGACACGCUCUAGAAUGGGAGAAAAUGUUUGCUAAUGAAGUGACCAACAAGGGUUCAAUCUCUAAAAUAUACAAACAUCUCACACAGCUCAAUAUUAAAAAAAAAAUAAAUGGGCAGGAGGUCUAAUGAGAUAUUUCUUCAGAAAAGAUGUACAGAUGGCCAAAAAGCACAUGAAAACUUGCUCAACAUCUCUUAAGUAUUAGAAAAACAUAAAUCAGAACUACAAUGGGUUAUCACCUCUCACUGGUCAGAAUGGUCAUCAUGAAAAAGUCUACAAAUAACAAAUGCUGGAGAGGGUAUGGGUUAUGGAACCCUCUCACAUGGUUGAUGGGAAUGUAAAUUGGUGCACCCACUAUGGAGAAUAGUAUGGAGUUUCCUUUAAAAACUCAAAGUACCUGGGCAUCUAUCCAGUCCUGGGCAUCUGUCCAGUGAAAAUCAUGACUUGAAAAGAUACAUGUACUCCAAUGUUCAUUGCAACACUAUGUACAAUAGCCAAGACAUGGAAACAACCUAAAUUUCCAUCGGCAGAAGAGUGGAUAAAGAAGAUGUGGUACAUAUAAACAAUGGAAUAUUACUCAGCCAUUAAAAGGAAACAAAUAAUGGCAUUUGCAGCAACAUGGAUGGACCUAGAAAUUAUCAUGCUAAGUGAAGUCAAUCAGACCAUGAGACACCAACAUCAAAUGCUAUCACUUACAUAUGGAAUCUAAAAAAAGGACACAAUGAACUUCUUUGCAGAACAGAUACUGACUCACCAACUUUGAAAAACAUAUGGUUUCCAAAUGAGACAGGUUGAGGGGUUGGGGGGAUGUAGUGAGGGUUUGGGAUGGAAAUUCUAUAAAAUUGGAUUGUGAUGAUCAUUGUACAACUAUAAAUGUA
rnacentral:lncRNA from 1 species